rnacentral:lncRNA from 1 species
GAGACAGAGUCUCACUCUGUUGCCCAGGCUGGAGUGCAGUGGCACAAUCUUGGCUCACUGCAAGCUCCGCCUCCUGGGUUCAUGCCAUUCUCCUGCCUCAGCCUCCCGAGUACCUGGGACUACAGGCACCUGCCACCACGCUUGGCUAAUUUUUUUGUAUUUUUAGUGAGAUGGGGUUUCACUGUGUUAGCCAGGAUGGUCUGGAUCUCCUGAUCUCGUGAUCCACCUGCCUCGGCCUCCCCAAGUGCCGGGAUUACAGGUGUGAGCCACCGUGCCCGGCUUCCAUUUCUAUUUCUAAUAAUACGUUCUACUGAGUAGGGUGAAAUGUGAUACUGAAAGGAUGAAGAGUGAAUAUGAGUUAUACACCUUGUGAUGGGUUUAUUUAAGGAAUAGUUUUCUAAAUCUUAUCUCAUGUAUUCAUAGCAAAUGGUUUGGAAGUAGCAGGAAUGUCCCAUCAAAAGAUUACACUGUCAGCAACAGACUCUCAGGUUACAAGAGAUUCAGGGUCUCUCUGAGGACCCUCAGAGUCAUUUGAGAAGGGAGCAUAUAAAUCCUAUCCAAACAUUUUUUACCACUAACUGGUUUUCAACAAGUAUUUUUUUCAAAAGAAAAAAAAAUGUAAGUAAGGAGGAAGUCAAAAACAGAAUUAUCAUAAAUCUAUCUCCUAAACAGAAGUCAAUGGGCUAAACAAUAAUAAUGCAGUAGUAUAAAGCUAAUUUAGUUGUAUUUUAAUAUACCGAUUAUUGAAUCAAAAAACAAAUUUAGUCAAAGUAAAGGAGAAGGGUAAAUCAUGCCCUCCUAUGAUAGGGCAUAACCUGUGUUCUCCCAGAGGCAAUUCCUUACAGAUUCUCCAGAGCCCAGCCUAACAGUUUGCAAAUAACACGUACUCUAAUACAGGUGACUGAAUGAAUGGCUACAAGUAAAACAAGUGGUGAAUUCUGUCAACUCACAUAACUGUCCAGGGGAUAUACUAACAUUUGUCAGGAAUCAAAAAAUGCUACAGGACAGGAUUCUUUUCAUAGGAGCCUAUAUUAUUCAACCGUGGAUUAAAAAACAAGAUGUAGGCCUCCUAUGUAGAGCAUCUGGCUCUUCUUUUGCUAUAAACUCUUUCACACUCCACUUUGAGAAGGUAUCAAGUACCAAAAUAAUGGCCAGAAUCUGUGGACUAGUUUAUUUCUUAGCAUUUGUUAUUCUAACCCUUUCAUACCUAGUUCUGUCAAACUCUAACAGUUUGUCUUUAUGCUUGAUAGCCUUCUCCAGACCAGACUUAAUUCGCAAUUCUUGAUGAGGAAGAAGGUCCUUGGUAGAGAUGUCCACCUUUCCAGAAUUCUCCACUCCUGAAAUUCAAUAAGGAAGUCAAAUGGUGUCAGCCUCUAAAUACAAAUUAGUUGUACCAGUGUGCAACAAAGAACAAAACAUCAGAAGAUCUGGUUCUGGCCUGAUGGCCUGGAGCCUUCAUUUCAACAGAAAACAAGUACACAGUCCAGGCCUUACCUGUACAGCAGUAAGCAGUGCUUGACACAUGACAGGUUUUCAAUAAAUGGCAGGGAUCUUUUCUUCCUUUAUAAAAAUUUGGUUCACUAAGGGCACCAAAGUAUUUAAGAAUGUGACAUAAAAAUGCCUUCUCAGUGAAGAAGACAUUUGCUCAAUAUUACCUUUAAAUAUACGUUUUUUCAAGACAGGAUCUAAUGCUGUUGCCCAGUCUGGAGUGCAGUAGUGUGAUCAUAGCUCACUGCAGUCUCAAACUCUUAGGCUCAGGCGAUCCUUCCACCUCAGCUUCCUGAAUAGCUGAGACAACAGGCACAUGCCAUUGUGUCUGAAUUUUUAAAUUUUUGUAGAGAGGCGGGUCUCACUAUGUUGCUCAGGCUGGUUUCAAAGUCCUGGCUUCAAGCAAUCCUCCCAACUCAGCACCUCAAAGUACUGGGAUUCCAGACAUGAUCCACUAUGCCAGCCUAAAUAUACGUUUAUAUUAUCAAAACUAAACACUAAAUAAUGGAAGAAAAAAGAAAAUUUCACAAAAGGGGCAGAAAAAAUGAACAGUUUCAGUUUAAUGAGAACCUGCUAAAUGCUGAGUCACUUAGUAUACAUGUUAUUUAAUUUUCGCAAUAACCCUGUAAGACAGUUUGUAUUAUCUUUAUUUUACAGAUAAAGUAACUGAAGUUCAGAGAUGACUAUAAAUUUACUGAGUUCACACAGUUAGAAAUUAGACCAGUGGCCGGGUGCAGUGGCUCACGCCUGUAAUCCCAGCACUUUGGGAGGCUGAGGCGGGCGGAUCAUGAGGUCAGGAGAUCGAGACCAUCCUGGCUAACAUGGUGAAACCCUGUCUCCACUAAAAAUACAAAAAAUUAGCCAGGCAUGGUGGCAGGCACCUGUAGUCCCAGCUACUUGGGAGGCUGAGGCAGGACAAUGGCAUGAACCUGGGACGCUGAGCUUACAUGAGCCGAGAUUGUGCCACUGCACUCCAGCCUAGCGACAGAG